UGUAUUAAUUUGUAACUUAACCGAGAAACAGUAACUUCACGGUAACGGCGUUUGUAAAACCUACACACACAUUGCAGCUGACACCUCUCACCCUCUGUUUCCUCUCUCGAGCUCCGGCAACCGGAGCCGUAUUUCCGGCAACAGUCCUGCCAGCUCCGGUUUCUUCUCCGGCCGCACACCAACCUCCAACCUCCUGUCCUUCUUCUACCCCCUUGCACCGCCCACACAACACCCCCUCUUCUCGGGUAAACGGUCGGCCACCACCCUCGGGUGGUGGCGCACGACGACAAGAAUACGGCAGCAAGGGAGGGAACGAGAUGAGAGAGAGAUCGGCGAGAGAAAGGGGAGGCCGACCACCUCCCUCGUGGCGGCGCAAAGGCCGACAGGCGGCGAAUCCUCCUAUGGCGACCCAGAUUUCGGCAAUCGACGGCUGGGGUGCAGGAAUUCCGCAUCAGAUAAGGUUUCCGGUGGAAUUCCGACGACAAAGCGGCGGAGAUACAGUGGUACGGGGUGGUUUCGACGACUGACGAUAAGGAUUUAGUAAGUUUCUUCAUUUUCUUUUCUCUCGGGUAAACUUGUCAGCUUUACAAGUGCUAACCUAGCUUCCCCUGCAUUUUGGUUUUGUUGGUGUUGGCGCGGGUGGCUGACAACGGUGGUGACCGGAGGUCGUCGACGACAUAUAACUGCCGAAAUUUAACGGCAGUGAUAGUGGUGGCUAUUGUUAGGGUGUUUGGUUCAACACGGUUCCUGCGCGGAUUCGUUCCGGACUUCCGGUUCGGGUUCAGGUCAAGCGGGUCAGGUCAAAAGUGAUCGAACGACACACGGGUCAACCUUGGUAUCACGGGUCAAUUCAGGUUUCGGUUUUAGUCCGGGUCAGACACAGUCAACGCGAACAACUUUCGUUCAACUUCAGUCAACAAAAUUCAAUGUUCAAACUGCGGGUCAACAGCAGUCAACGCCGGUCAAAGCCAGACCCGGUAAAAAUUUAAACGAAGCGAAUUUUAAUUUCGUUGUUUAUACAUAUUAUACUUUACGCGAACCGAGCUUGAACCGAUGCCGCCGCGAAGCGGCGAAGGGAUCCUACUAGUUAUAUAUGAAAUGUAAAUGAAAUAAAAAAUAAUCUGUCAUCUUCUUCAAAUAUGCAUGUACGAAAUUUUAUAAUCAUAAGAUGAAAGGAGCAAUUGACAUGUUUAUGAAAGUGGAGGGUAGAAAGUGAAGAGAAUGAGAAGGAUGGAGGGCAUGUGAAUGAAGUUUGAUGAAAACGAGGGGAGAAGCAUCUACUUGGUGGGGUCCACAUGACAUUAUGGUUUGAUUUGUCUUAAACAAGGGGCCCACCAGUGAGGUGUAGUGGCGUAAAGGAAAGCGACGAAAGAAUCAGACAUAGGUGUGGAUGGGUGACUUUAACGCGUUUGUUUAAAGUUAAACCGCUCCUCCGUCAUAAGGCUAUGCGGUGAUAGUCCAUUUUUAGAGGAUGAUUCAUCACGUAGGAUAGGUGUAAGGAUGAGGCAAAGGGGAUGAAACUAAGGAAAUAGGGGAUAAGCCUAAAAUAUAUACAUGAGUUGUAUGUAUAUGUGUGUGUGAGGGGAGAAUGCAUAUUUUUUUGUCUUUUGUGGAGUGUCUCAAUCAUCCUAGGUUCGACGAUCUCGACAACGACAGGGAGGGGAGAAAUGGGUGGCGGAGCGGCACCGGGCCACAACGGGGGUGGGAUGAAGCCCACACCGUCUAGCCUAACUUCUGUUACUUUUUUUAACUGUUUUCUGUUACGGUUUAAAAAAACUAGAACUAGAAUUGAUCAUGUUCUGUUGCAUGGCUGUAGACGAGUCAAUGGAUUGGAUAUUGAUCCAUAUCCAAUCCGAUCCGAUCUAUUUAAAUCACCUAUUGGAUCAUAAAAAAUAUUCAUUAAUCUAUUAACUAAUCCAAUGAAUUGAUACAUUUAUCUAAUUAAUUAUAUGGAUCGAUCCAUGAUCCAUCCGGAUCGAUCCAUACUAAGAGAAUGUAUGGUUUACUAAAUGGACAUGUCUGAAUGGCAGGCCUCUUACUUACCCAUUCGAUCCAUCCCAGUUGAACGAUACUCUCUACCUCAUCAUCACACGUUCUCUCCCUCUCUCUCUUCAUUCUCUCUCUCCUCUUGUUUACACCUCACACUUCUGGUUCAUCUGCUUACAAAUCAUCAACGAAUAAACUUCAACUCAUUCACAGAUUAACACACAAAUCAAGCAAAAGUUCUUCAUUUUCAGGUCGUCAUUAUCAUACGAAUCACUUUUAAAAUCGAAGAAAUAAUCCAUCAUUCCACUUGUUCACACUAGGAAAUUCAGGUCUCAAAUAAACGCUGUCGCUGCUCAAUCUAACUUUUUCAUAGGUAUUUUAUAAACUUAGUUUCAAUUUCUGUUAGAAUUAUGUUGUUGGUAGUAUCCGAUUGUAUACGUUAAAUUAUGAAAUUAUUAUGUAGAUUGACUGUAUAAUAUGGUAGACUUUUGUAACAGAAUGAAAGAUGUGAAUAAUUGCUAUUAA